CCUACGAGAGGCUGCAGUAGGGAAUCUUCCACAAUGGGCGAAAGCCUGAUGGAGCAACGCCGCGUGGGUGAAGAAGGUCUUCGGAUCGUAAAACCCUGUUGUUAGAGAAGAAAGUGCGUGAGAGUAACUGUUCACGUUUCGACGGUAUCUAACCAAAAGCCACGGGUAAAUACGUGCCAACAAGCGCGGGAAUUCGUAGGUGGCAAGCGUUUACCGGGUUUAUUGGGCGUAAAGGGAACGCAGGCGGUCUUUUAAGUCUGAUGUGAAAGCCUUUGGCUUAACCGGAGUAGUGCAUUGGAAACUGGGAGACUUGAGUGCAGAAGAGGAGAGUGGAACUCCAUGUGUAGCGGUGAAAUGCGUAGAUAUAUGGAAGAACACCAGUGGCGAAAGCGGCUCUCUGGUCUGUAACUGACGCUGAGGUUCGAAAGCGUGGGUAGCAAACAGGAUUAGAUACCCGAGUAGUC
rnacentral:rRNA from 1 species